UACGUAGGGGGCUAGCGUUGUCCGGAAUCAUUGGGCGUAAAGAGCGCGUAGGCGGCCCGGAAAGUCCGCUGUAAAAGCCAAAGGCUCAACCUUUGAAUGUCAGUGGAUACUGCCGGGCUUGAGUCCGGAAGAGGCGAGUGGAACUCCUGGUGUAGCGGUGGAAUGCGCAGAUGUCAGGAAGAACACCGACGGCGAAGGCAGCUCGCUGGGACGGUACUGACGCUGAGACGCGAAAGCGUGGGGAGCGAACAGG
rnacentral:rRNA from 1 species